GACGAGCGCUGGUGGCGUGCCUAAUACAUGCAAGUCGAGCGGACCAAUAGAAGCUUGCUUCUGUUGGUUAGCGGCGGACGGGUGAGUAACACGUGGGCAACCUGCCUGUAAGACUGGGAUAACUUCGGGAAACCGGAGCUAAUACCGGAUAAUUCAUCCCCUCGCAUGAGGGGAUGCUGAAAGUCGGUUUACGCUGACACUUACAGAUGGGCCCGCGGCGCAUUAGCUAGUUGGUGAGGUAAUGGCUCACCAAGGCGACGAUGCGUAGCCGACCUGGGAGGGUGAUCGGCCACACUGGGACUGAGACACGGCCCAGGCUCCUACGGGAGGCAGCAGUAGGGAAUCUUCCACAAUGGACGAAAGUCUGAUGGAGCAACGCCGCGUGAGCGAUGAAGGCCUUCGGGUCGUAAAGCUCUGUUGUUAGGGAAGAACAAGUAUCGGAGUAACUGCCGGUACCUUGACGGUACCUAACCAGAAAGCCACGGCUAACUACGUGCCAGCCGCCGCCGUAA
rnacentral:rRNA from 1 species